rnacentral:snRNA from 1 species
AUCUCUGCGCAGGUGCGAUAUCGUAACCAAUGAGGUUUUACCGAGGUGCGAUUAUUGCUAGUUGAAAACUUUUACCAAUACCCCGCCAAGACGAGGUGAAAUACCCUCGGCUACGGCAAUUUUUGACAGCCUCUACGGAGG